CCUACGGGAGGCAGCAGUAGGGAAUAUUGCUCAAUGGGGGAAACUCUGAAGCAGCAACGCCGCGUGGAGGAUGAAGGUUUUCGGAUUGUAAACUCGUUUUGUUAGAGGAGAUAAUGACGGUAUCUAACGAAUAAGCACCGGCUAACUCCGGGCCGGCAGCCGCGGUAAUAUGGCGGGUGCAGGCGUUACUCGGAAUCACUGGGCGUAAAGGGGGCGUAGGCGGGAUAGCAAGUCAGAUGUGAAAUCCUAUGGCUUAACCAUAGAACUGCAUCUGAAACUGUUAGUCUAGAGUGUGGCAGAGGUAGGUGGAAUUCGUGGUGUAGCGGUAAAAUCCGUAGAGAUCACGAGGAAUACUCAUUGCGAAGGCGACCUGCUGGAACAUUACUGACGCUGAUGCACGAAAGUGUGGGGAGCAAACAGGAUUAGAUACCCUUGUAGUC
rnacentral:rRNA from 1 species